AGCCUUAUAUUCAAUAAUGAUAUAAAAUUGCAAAUUUUAAGGAGUAUGUCUAAUGCUAAGGCUU
rnacentral:tRNA from 1 species